GACGAACGCUGGCGGCGUGCUUAACACAUGCAAGUCGAACGGAAAGGCCCUGCUUUUGUGGGGUGCUCGAGUGGCGAACGGGUGAGUAACACGUGAGUAACCUGCCCUUGACUUUGGGAUAACUUCAGGAAACUGGUGCUAAUACCGGAUAGGAGCUCCUGCUGCAUGGUGGGGGUUGGAAAGUUUCGGCGGUUGGGGAUGGACUCGCGGCUUAUCAGCUUGUUGGUGGGGUAGUGGCUUACCAAGGCUUUGACGGGUAGCCGGCCUGAGAGGGUGAACGGCCACAUUGGGACUGAGAUACGGACCAGACUCCUACGGGAGGCAGCAGUGGGGAAUAUUGCACAAUGGGCGGAAGCCUGAUGCAGCAACGCCGCGUGCGGGAUGACGGCCUUCGGGUUGUAAACCGCUUUAGCCUGUGACGAAGCGUGAGUGACGGUAAUGGGUAAAGAAGCACCGGCUAACUACGUG
rnacentral:rRNA from 1 species